GGGUGAUUAGCUCAGUUGGUAGAGCACCUCCCUUACAAGGAGGGGGUCGGCAGUUCGAGUCUGUCAUCACCCACCA
rnacentral:tRNA from 1 species